GACGAACGCUGGCGGCGUGCCUAACACAUGCAAGUGGAGCGACGAACCAGGGCUUGCCCUGGGGCCAAGCCGCGAACGGGUGAGUAACACGUGGGUAACCUGCCCCGAUGACCGGGACAACCCGAGGAAACUCGGGCUAAUACCGGAUGUGGUGGACACACUUAAGUGUGUCCACUAAAGGAAGCUUCGGCCUCCGCAUUGGGAUGGGCCCGCGGCCCAUUAGCUAGUUGGUGGGGUAAAGCCUACCAAGGCAACGAUGGGUAGCUGGUCUGAGAGGACGAUCAGCCACACUGGGACUGAGACACGGCCCAGACUCCUACGGGAGGCAGCAGUGGGGAAUCUUGCGCAAUGCGCGAAAGCGUGACGCAGCAACGCCGCGUGAGGGAAGACGGCCUCGGUGUAACGU
rnacentral:rRNA from 1 species